GGCGUAGGCGGUUUGUUAAGUGGGAUGUGAAAUCCCCGGGCUUAACCUGGAAUUGCAUUUCAAACUGGCCGACUAGAGUACGGUAGAGGGAGGUAGAAUUUCCUGUGUAGCGGUGAAAUGCGUAGAUAUAGGAAGGAAUACCAGUGGCGAAGGCGGCCUCCUGGAUCGAUACUGACGCUGAGGCGCGAAAGCGUGGGGAGGCAAAACA
rnacentral:rRNA from 1 species